rnacentral:rRNA from 1 species
UACGGGAGGCAGCAGUGGGGAAUAUUGCACAAUGGGCGCAAGCCUGAUGCAGCCAUGCCGCGUGUAUGAAAAAGGCCUUCGGGUUGUAAAGUACUUUCAGUCGUGAGGAAGGUGUUAAGGUUAAUAACCUUAGCAAUUGACGUUAGCGACAGAAGAAGCACCGGCUAACUCCGUGCCAGCAGCCGCGGUAAUACGGAGGGUGCGAGCGUUAAUCGGAAUUACUGGGCGUAAAGGGCACGCAGGCGGUUAAUUAAGUUGGAUGUGAAAUCCCCGGGCUUAACCUGGGAAUGGCAUUCAAGACUGGUUAGCUAGAGUCUUGUAGAGGGGGUAGAAUUCCGAUGUGUAGCGGUGAAAUGCGUAGAGAUGUGGAGGAAUACCGGUGGCGAAGGCGGCCCCUGGACAAAGACUGACGCUCAUGUGCGAAAGCGUGGGGAGCAAACAGGGAUUAGAUACC